rnacentral:rRNA from 1 species
GAUGAACGCUGGCGGCGUGCCUAAUACAUGCAAGUCGAGCGAAUGGAUUAAGAGCUUGCUCUUAUGAAGUUAGCGGCGGACGGGUGAGUAACACGUGGGUAACCUGCCCAUAAGACUGGGAUAACUCCGGGAAACCGGGGCUAAUACCGGGUAACAUUUUGAACCGCAUGGUUCGAAAUUGAAAGGCGGCUUCGGCUGUCACUUAUGGAUGGACCUGCGUCACAUUAGCUAGUUGGGGAGGUAACGGCUCACCAAGGCAACGAUGCGUAGCCGACCUGAGAGGGUGAUCGGCCACACUGGGACUGAGACACGGCCCAGACUCCUACGGGAGGCAGCAGUAGGGAAUCUUCCGCAAUGGACGAAAGUCUGACGGAGCAACGCCGCGUGAGUGAUGAAGGCUUUCGGGUCGUAAAACUCUGUUGUUAGGGAAGAACAAGUGCUAGUUGAAUAAGCUGGCACCUUGACGGUACCUAACCAGAAAGCCACGGCUAACUACGUGCCAGCCGCCGCCGUAA